rnacentral:rRNA from 1 species
UACGUAGGUGACAAGCGUUGUCCGGAUUUACUGGGCGUAAAGGGUGCGCAGGCGGCAGAGCAAGUCGAGUGUGAAAGCCCCGGGCUUAACUUGGGAAUUGCGCUCGAAACUACUUUGCUGGAGUGUGGCAGAGGAAGGUGGAAUUCCACGUGUAGCGGUGAAAUGCGUAGAGAUGUGGAGGAACACCAAUGGCGAAGGCAGCCUUCUGGGCCAACACUGACGCUCAUGCACGAAAGCGUGGGGAGCAAACAGG